GAUGAACGCUGGCGGCGUGCCUAAUACAUGCAAGUCGAGCGAACAGACGAGGAGCUUGCUCCUCUGACGUUAGCGGCGGACGGGUGAGUAACACGUGGAUAACCUACCUAUAAGACUGGGAUAACUUCGGGAAACCGUAUCUAAUACCGGAUAAUAUAUUGAACCGCAUGGUUCAAUAGUGAAGGUCGGUUUUGCUGUCACUUAUAGCUGGAUCCGCGCCGCAUUAGCUAGUUGGUAAGGUAACGGCUUACCAAGGCAACGAUGCGUAGCCGACCUGAGAGGGUGAGAGGCCACACUGGAACUGAGACACGGACCAGACUACUACGGGAGGCAGCAGUAGGGAAUAUGCCGCAAUGGGCGAAAGCAUGACGGAGCAACGCCGCGUGAGUGAUGAAGGUCUUCGGAUCGUAAAACUCUGUUAUUAGGGAAGAACAAAUGUGUAAGUAACUAUGCACGUCGUGACGGUAACUAAUCAGAAAGCCACGGCUAACUACGUG
rnacentral:rRNA from 1 species